UGGGGAAUAUUGCACAAUGGGCGCAAGCCUGAUGCAGCCAUGCCGCGUGUAUGAAGAAGGCCUUCGGGUUGUAAAGUACUUUCAGCGGGGAGGAAGGGAGUAAGGUUAAUAACCUUAUCAAUUGACGUUACCGACAGAAGAAGCACCGGCUAACUCCGUGCCAGCAGCCGCGGUAAUACGGAGGGUGCAAGCGUUAAUCGGAAUUACUGGGCGUAAAGCGCACGCAGGCGGUUGAUUGAGUCAGAUGUGAAAUCCCCGGGCUUAACCCGGGAAUUGCAUCUGAUACUGGUCAGCUAGAGUCUCGUAGAGGGGGGUAGAAUUCCAGGUGUAGCGGUGAAAUGCGUAGAGAUCUGGAGGAAUACCGGUGGCGAAGGCGGCCCCCUGGACGAAGACUGACGCUCAGGUGCGAAAGCGUGGGGAGCAAACAGG
rnacentral:rRNA from 1 species